CCAGUGUAGAAGUAGCCUUCACUUCUGUGGCUGAGGAACAUCUUGGCUCCCCAGCCCAGAGACCCUCUUCAGAAAGCAAAGCCAGGGUUUAGGUGUGCUGGGCCUGGGAACAUAUGGUUGAACGAAAGGUCUUCAGGGUCUGUCUCCUCCGCCUCUUCUGCAUUCCAGACGUGAAAACACCCAUCCCUCAGGGAGCUGCAGAGUGAGCGAGUGCAGCCGUGCCUGCACCUACCAGUUUGCUCGGCAGCCUGUCUGAAGCCAGCAGGCUGAGGUGCUGUAGCCACAGGAGCAUCACUCACCUGUGCAGCCCAGACUCUGUUUUAGGUACUGAGCUUACCUGGCGGACAAGGCCUUGUGCAGACUCCAUUCGGUGGUGACACACACAAUGAAGAGGCAAACAAACCUAAAAUCAGGUCCUGGUUUGUUCCGUAAAGCACCUGCAGCAGUGAUGGUACAGUGCUGGAUGGGAGCGAUUCGGGUGUCGGUGCAGGCUUCUCUGAGCGAUGACAGGGGAGACAGUAACUGGUGCACUUGGACAGAGGAUGACUACACCUUGCUAGGCGGAUGCAUUUGCUUUUGAAAGUUCAAAUAUGUAUAUGAAGGCUGAGCUUCCAAGGGGUGGCAAGGCUGUUAAAUCAGCUGUUGACAUCAGCCCCAACUGCCUAUUCUAGAUUCUUCUCUGUGAGGCUGGUGCUGAGGUUCAAGAUUUCUUCUUUGCCACCUGGACUCUGCUACAGAUGCCCUGGAGGAAAACAAGCAGUAGGGGGAGAAGCUCUCGUUUCCACUGGCCUCAUCCCAGCAAUAAUCUUCACUUUAGCAGCGGCAGUUGAGUCCCGGUUCCAGCUAAUUCCAACACCAGUUGGGUGUUGUCUCCUGAUAUGUUUGAGCCCCGUCUCCCAGGAUCACCUUCUGUACACACAGCCUUCUGCAUGAUAACCUAUAUCUCUUUCCUUUUGUUUUCUGGCCUUGGGUGAGUACUGCUUUCUUCAGGUGCUGUCAGCAACAGCAAAAAUAUCUUGUUAGGCGUGUUUUCCCUUUUUCUGAUUGAACCCCAGAAAUACUGAGCAUAUCACUACAUGCAGAAAGUACGUCAAGAACCACGCUGUGACCGAUUUUAUUAAAUACUGCUCAGAGGCUG
rnacentral:lncRNA from 1 species